rnacentral:lncRNA from 1 species
GCCUCUGCAACUCAGUAAUUGUUGUUGUCCAUUUGUUUGAUGUGUUUAAUUAUUUGAAUUGCCUUUUGAUUAGGGACUUUCUGUUUUGAAUUUCCCUCGGAGUUCAGUAUUUUUGUGAUUUUGCCUUUUGUUUCUCGUUCUGCUAGUUAUCGUUAACCUGUAUGAUUGUGGAUAAUGAAUUGCAUUCGCUGUUGUGCCCCUUUAACUGAUUUGUCCCUUUUUAUAUAAAAUCUUGGCUACAGAUGAAUAAUAGAUUUCUUUGGUAAAAUUCCUUUAAACCAAUUAAUUGCAUCUCCGUACAGUUUUAUAUACUAGAAUAACUAUUUUUAGAAAAAUGCAAUAGUACUUCGUUUAUCCAAAGAUCAGAUGAUGUCAAAUUUUUCUUCAGAAACAAACUCUUGUUUUGUUUCAUGAUUCUUGAAUACGAGUU